UCUCCGUGCCUGUCUCUCUCUGCGGAUUAACAGUUAUAAAUAGUACGACGUGCAUUGUGUGCAGUCUGCUUCUUCUUUUCGCGGUAUGCGACCAAUUAUAAGACAAUCAUCCCGACAAGCAUCUCCGCUUCUCUCUGCCGUAAUUCGUUGUAGCCGUUCUCCGAUCGUUUCCGGGUCUUAGAGGUUUUCAUAUUAUUUUCGAACUAUGUACCGUCCCGGCACCUCAACCACAGUCGUCCCGAAGGUCUUUUUCCGCGAAGGAUAUCUUCCUGUACC